rnacentral:tRNA from 1 species
GCUGCCUUAGUUUAUAAAAAUAUUGGUCUUGUAAACCGAAGUUAGCGUAGUUUCGUUAGGUGGCU